UGGGGAAUAUUGCACAAUGGGGGAAACCCUGAUGCAGCAACGCCGCGUGAAGGAAGACGGUCUUCGGAUUGUAAACUUUUGUUCUUGGUGAAGAAGAAUGACGGUAGCCAAGGAGGAAGCCACGGCUAACUACGUGCCAGCAGCCGCGGUAAUACGUAGGUGGCAAGCGUUGUCCGGAAUUACUGGGUGUAAAGGGAGCGCAGGCGGGAAAUCAAGUUGGAUGUGAAAUGUCGGGGCUUAACCCCGGAACUGCAUCCAAAACUGAUAUUCUUGAGUGAAGUAGAGGUAGGCGGAAUUCCGAGUGUAGCGGUGAAAUGCGUAGAUAUUCGGAGGAACACCAGUGGCGAAGGCGGCCUACUGGGCUUUAACUGACGCUGAGGCUCGAAAGUGUGGGGAGCAA
rnacentral:rRNA from 1 species